rnacentral:siRNA from 1 species
AUGGUGAUAUUGUUUGUUGGU